rnacentral:tRNA from 1 species
AACUUUAUAGUAUAGUAUAUAGUAUAUCGAUUACUACGUUAAAGGCGUAGGUUCGAUUCCUAUUAAAGUUC